rnacentral:rRNA from 1 species
CCUACGGGUGGCAGCAGUGAGGAAUAUUGGUCAAUGGGCGGAAGCCUGAACCAGCCAAGUCGCGUGAGGGAUUAAGGCCCUGCGGGUCGUAAACCUCUUUUGCCGGGGAGCAGUGGUCCGGACGCGUCCGGACCGGGAGAGUACCCGGAGAAAAAGCAUCGGCUAACUCCGUGCCAGCAGCCGCGGUAAUACGGAGGAUGCGAGCGUUAUCCGGAUUUAUUGGGUUUAAAGGGUGCGUAGGCGGGCAUUUAAGCCGGCGGUCAAAUGUCGGGGCUCAACCCCGGCCUGCCGUCGGAACUGGGUGCCUUGAGUGGGCGAGAAGUAUGCGGAAUGCGUGGUGUAGCGGUGAAAUGCAUAGAUAUGACGAAGAACCCCGAUUGCGAAGGCAGCUUGCUGCAGCGGAACUGACGCUGAUGCUCGAAAGCGCGGGUAUCGAACAGGAUUAGAUACCCCAGUAGUC